CCUACGGGUGGCUGCAGUGAGGAAUAUUGGUCAAUGGUCGGGAGACUGAACCAGCCAAGCCGCGUGAGGGAUGAAGGUACAGAGUAUCGUAAACCUCUUUUGUCAGGGAACAAAGGCGGGGACGUGUCCCCGGAUGAGUGUACCUGAAGAAAAAGCAUCGGCUAACUCCGUGCCAGCAGCCGCGGUAAUACGGAGGAUGCGAGCGUUAUCCGGUUUUAUGGGGUUUAAAGGGUGCGCGGGCGGCCUGUUACGUCAGCGGUAAAAGCCCGGAGCUCAACCCCGGCCCGCCGUUGAAACUGGCAGUCUCGAGUUGGAGAGAGGUAGGCGGAAUGCGCGGUGUAGCGGUGGAAUGCAGAGAUAUCGCGAAGAACUCCGAUUGCGAAGGCAGCAUGCCGGCUCCACACUGACGCUGAGGCACGAAAGCGUGGGUAGCGAACAGGAUUAGAUACUCUUGUAGUC
rnacentral:rRNA from 1 species